rnacentral:rRNA from 1 species
AUACGGAGGGUGCAAGCGUUACUCGGAAUCACUGGGCGUAAAGGAUGCGUAGGCUGGAUGUCAAGUUGGAAGGGAAAUCCUAUGGCUUAACCAUAGAACUGCUUCCAAAACUGGCAACCUAGAGUGAGGGAGAGGCAGAUGGAAUUAGUGGUGUAGGGGUAAAAUCCGUAGAUAUCACUAGGAAUACCGAUUGCGAAGGCGAUCUGCUAGAACUCUACUGACGCUAAGGCAUGAAAGCGUGGGGAGCAAACAGGAUUAGAUACCCGAGUAGUCC